rnacentral:rRNA from 1 species
AGUGAACGCUGGCGGUAGGCCUAACACAUGCAAGUCGAACGGCAGCACAGUAAGAGCUUGCUCUUACGGGUGGCGAGUGGCGGACGGGUGAGGAAUACAUCGGAAUCUACUUUUUCGUGGGGGACAACGUAGGGAAACUUACGCUAAUACCGCAUACGACCUACGGGUGAAAGCAGGGGAUCUUCGGACCUUGCGCGAUUGAAUGAGCCGAUGUCGGAUUAGCUAGUUGGCGGGGUAAAGGCCCACCAAGGCGACGAUCCGUAGCUGGUCUGAGAGGAUGAUCAGCCACACUGGAACUGAGACACGGUCCAGACUCCUACGGGAGGCAGCAGUGGGGAAUAUUGGACAAAGGGCGCAAGCCUGAUCCAGCCAUACCGCGUGGGUGAAGAAGGCCUUCGGGUUGUAAAGCCCUUUUGUUGGGAAAGAAAAGCAGCAGGCUAAUACCCCGCUGUUCUGACGGUACCCAAAGAAUAAGCACCGGCUAACUUCGCG